rnacentral:rRNA from 1 species
CAGUCGCCACGGUAAUACGAAGGGGGCUAGCGUUGUUCGGAUUAACUGGGCGUAAAGGGCGCGUAGGCGGGUUUUUAAGUCAGAGGUGAAAUCCCAAGGCUCAACCUUGGAACUGCCUUUGAUACUGGAAGUCUUGAGUCCGGGAGAGGUGAGUGGAACUGCGAGUGUAGAGGUGAAAUUCGUAGAUAUUCGCAAGAACACCAGUGGCGAAGGCGGCUCACUGGCCCGGUACUGACGCUGAGGCGCGAAAGCGUGGGGAGCAAACAGGAUUAGAUACCCGCGUAGUCCCUGUCUCUUAUAC